rnacentral:rRNA from 1 species
CCCGGUGCCCAUACCUGGCUGGAAAUACCCGUUCCCAUUCCGAACACGGCAGUCAAGCAGCCAGGGCCGAUGAUAGUGCUAGUUGCGAAAGUAGGUCAGCGCCGGGU